rnacentral:lncRNA from 1 species
UUUAAGUGGUCUAGUCUGGUCUAGUCAUCUUUGUUCUUUGUCACAUGCACGGAAUCGCGCGGUUAAAGAGAGGUAUGCUUGACCGGGUUUGACACGUGGUACCUGCCGUUACCUGAACCUGCUGGGCCAGUGGUUGGAUGCCCCGAACCUCGAAUUUACAUUUUAUAUGCGAAGUUGUCCUGGACAAGUACGGAAUCGUUACCGCGAACGAUACUAAUAAUUAUAUUAUCUACAACUACAUAGAUCGUUGGUGGCAUAGUUAGUAAUAGAUUUCCCUUUUUGGGUGUAAAAUUAUUAUUGGUUUAUUAUAAUACCUACAUAAAAAUCAAGUUAAUCAAAUGGAAAUACCUACCUACAAGAAAUUGGCGGGGAAACGUGUUAACAAUAUGGGAAUAAACCAAACCCAUUUGAGGAUAACCAAGAAACUGUAAAAGAUUAUUUCCAAGAACAUGAUAUGGAAAUUAUUGAGGCCCUAAAUGAACAAUCAUCUCACUAAGAAAUUAACAUGGAUCCACAUGCUGAAGGAAAAACAGUAAAUAAAAAUCAGAAAGUUGUGGACAAACAUUUGAGAAGACCCAUUGGAAAAAAGUCUCGCAAGUGUGAAAUUUGUUUUAAGCAAUUUAGUCAAGCAAGUAAUUUGAAACAACAUUUGAGAGUGCACACUAGAGAAAAACCUCACAAGUGUGAAAUUUGUUUUAAGCAGUUCACUGCAGCAAGUACAUUGAAAGUACAUUUGAGAGUGCACACUGGAAUAAAACCUUACACGUGUGAAAUUUGUUUAAAAUAGUUUAUUUAUAUAGGGGAUUUGAAAACACAUUCGAGAGUGCAUACUGGAGAAAAGCCUCCCGAGUGUGACGUAUGUUUUAAGCAGUUUAGAAGCGCAAAUUAUUUGAAGAAGCAUUUGAGAUUGCACACUGGAGAAAAACCGUACACAUGUGGAAUUUGUUUCAAGCAGUUUGCUCGAAAAACCGAUUUACCUAUACACAUGACAGUUCACACUAAAGAAAAAGCUUAUAAGUGUAACAUUUGUUUCAAAAAGUUUUCUCUAGCAAAUAAUUUCAAUAGACAUUUGAUAACACACACUGGAGAAAAAUUUCACAAGUGUGAGAUUUGUUGUAAGCAGUUUGCUUUCAAACAUUAUUUAACUCAGCACAUCAAAGUUCACACUGGAGAAAAAACUUACAAGUGUGGAAUUUGUUCUAAGCAAUUUAGUCAAUCUGGAAAUUUGAAAAAUCAUUUAAGGAUACACACUGGAGAAAAGCCUUAUAAGUGUGACAUUUGUUUUAAGCAGUUUAGUGACCCAAGCAGUUUAAAACACCAUUUGAGAGUGCACACUGGAGAAAAACGUCACAAGUGUGAAAUUUGUUUUAAGCAGUUCACUACAGCAGAUCAUUUGAAAAAACAUUUGAUAAUACACACUGGAGAAAAACCUCACAAGUGCGAGAUUUGUUUUAAACGAUUUUCUCAAAAAAAUACUUUAAAAAAUCAUUCGAAAAUACACGCUAUAGAAAGACUUUACGAAUGUGAAAUUUGUUUGGAGGAAUUUCGUGAACAACGUAAUUUGAAAACACAUUUGAGAGUGCACUCUAAAUAGUCCAUUCACUCACGGUGAAAUAUUGUAAAACCUCCAAAUUUUAAGAACGGUUUGGACUGACCUAAAAUUUGGCAUACACAUAGCUAACAUGUCAAAGAAAAAAAUGAUAUUGUGCCAAUGUGUGCUUUUACCCUGGGUGUGAAUUUCACCCCUUCUCAGGGGUGAAAAACAUGCGUUCAUAUUAAUUCCGGAACUGGAUAAACUGACUAAUUCUAAGCAACUUUUAUUCUGUAGCAUUUUUUUCACUAAGUUAUUAUUUUUCGAGUUAUUUGCGAGUGAAUAUGUUAAUUUUUCAACAAAACCAUGUUUUUAGACGGUUGUUAGCCCACAGGGUGAUUGAUUAGUAGGGUAACGCUCAAUAGCUUCGCUAUAGUAAUAGAUAGCAAAAACAGUUAAUAACAAAAAUUUAAGCCACCUUUGAGCUUCACAUUACAAAAUUUGUUAGAAUGUUACAGGGUGUUAGAUAACACAGUGGCAGACCAAACUUAUGUUUUUUUUUAAUGGAACACCCUAUAUUUUAUUUUAAAUUCGAAAUCCUGUUAACUUCUCCAUCACAAAAAUAUAAAGGUUUGUUAUGUUAUACAGGGUAUUUACAAAGUUAUAACCAAUCUUAUAUGAAAAUCGUAACAAGUUCAACUCCCUGUAUAAAUAAAAUUAAGCAAAACAACAAUGGUUUAUUAAUGCCAUAUUUUUUAACGUAUUGUCAAAAUUUUCAAGAAUGGUCGAUAUUGCUAAUUUUCUUUAUAUCAAAUACAGGGUGAGUCAAAACGCAAGUACAUUAUUUUCUCAGUAAUUUUAAAUGGAACACUCUGUAUUUUAUAUCACUAUUGAAAAGUACCAUUACCGUACUUUAAUUUUUAGAUAACAUUCCCUAUGUCUAAAUUUAUUAAUUUUCGAGAUAUUUUGAUUUUUCAAUGGACCAGUAGCGUGGCCACCCAAAUCACCAGAAUUUAAUAAACUGGACUGAUUUUUUUGGAGUUACGUUAAUAAUAACGUUUAUAAAAUACCUCCAACAACAAGGGAUGAGAUGAAAAAUAGAAUACAAAGUGUAUUUCGAUGUGUUAAUUUACAAAUACCCCGUAGAGUAAGUAGCUCAUUCAAUGAUCGUUUUUAGGCGUACAUAAAUGUGUUAGGAGAUCAUUUUGAACACCUUAUGUAAUUAAAUAUUAAAAAUAUUUUAUUAAAAGUAGCUUCUAAUUUUUUUAAAUAUGUUUUUUUGCAAAAUGUAUUACUGAUAAAUUAUGUUUUGUUCUUUAUUUGUUACAUUGUUACAUUUACAUACAAGAGUACCGUUUAAUUGUCUUCACAAAAUAUUGUAUUUUGUGUUUGAGUGUUUUUUUGUAAAACUUAUUACUAAUUUUCUUUGUUUAUUUUUGCAUUUACAUAAAAAGAUAGUUUUUAAUUUUUUCAAAAAUGUUGCAUGUAGUGGUUGUGUUUUUGUUUGUAAAAUGUAUUACUAAUAAAUUAUUUUUAUUUCUUUAUUUGAUACAGUGUUACAUUGAUUACCGGAUUGAUAAUCGGUAAUCUUCAAUUGUCAAUUCAGUCAUGGCUUACUUAAAAUUUAGAUAAAUUUAAACACCUAAAAUAAUUUGCUCUGAAAAUGAAAAUAUCUCGAAAACUAAUAAAUUUGGUCAUAGGAAAUGUUAUAUAAAAAUUAAAGUACGUUAAUGUUACUUUUCAAUAAUGAUAUAAAAUACAGGGUGUUCCAUUUAACAUUACUGAGAAAAUAAUGUACUUGCGUUUUGACUCACCCUGUAUUUGAUAUAAAGAAAAUUAGCAAUAUCAAUAAUUCUUAAAAAUUUUGACAAUAAAAAAUAUGGCAUUAAUAAACCAUUGCUGUUGUGCUUAUUUUUAUUUAUACAGGGAGUUGAACUUGUUACGAUUUUCAUACAAAAUUGGUUAUAACUUUGUAAAUACCCUGUAUAACAUUACAAACAUUUAUAUUUUUGUGAUGGAGAAGUUAACAGGAUUUCGAAUAUAAAAUAAAAUAUAGGGUGUUCCAUUUAAAAAAACAUAAGUUAGGUCUGACACUGUGUUAUCGAACACCCUGUAACAUUCUAACUAAUUUUGUAAUGUGAAGCUCAAAGGUGGCUAAAAUGUUUAUUAUUAACUUUUAAUGCUAUCUAUUACUAUAGCGGAGCUAUUGAGCUUUACCCUACUAAUCAAUCACCCUGUAUAAAUCAAAAAGUAAGUAUUUCAUCGACACAAAAAUUCUUAGGAAAAAUAUAGCUUUAAAAACUUGAAAAAAAUGGUGUAUAUGAGGGCUCUGGACCCAAUGGCAGCAAAGUUGUAGCUAAUGAAAAAUAGGUACAUAUUCGUUAACUUCCUAAUCGAAUAUUUCAACUUGAAAUAACCAAAAAAUGAACCACUUUCUGGGAAAAACUCAUUUCAACUGUUUUAAAAUGUUUAAAAAAAAGCUUCAUAUAAUUUGUUUCUGAAAAGGUUUCUAGUAUCAAAAGUAAGCAAGUUACGAUCAAAAUAAUGUUGGUCUCUUUUUUUUUUUGGUAAAAAAUAGUGAAAACCACUUCCUUGUUACCAUCCCAAAUGAUAUUAAUCGUUACCGCUUCACAAGUUGCUUUACUCGUGUAUGUAUUGUUUAUAUGAUUUGUAAGUUUCAACGGUUAGUUUGUGCUAAGUGCAUAUUUUUGAAGCUGCUUAAAGGGCUGCAGUUGAAAGGGCUUGAACGAGUCACCAAUCUCGAGCGUAUGCAAAUUUUGAACAGCGAUAUCUUAACCAAUUUUUGUCUUACAGGAAAACAAAAUUCAGAAUAUUCAGAAAAGCAAAUCCUACAUUUUUUUACUCUGUGAGAUUUUUGGUAUCAUUAAUAAGUUAUUUAAAAAAAAGUAUUCUACUCAAAAUUAAAAAAAAAAUUACCAAAAUUUUACAAAAUUGUGGCGAUGAAACUGACAGAUCAUAUAAAUAAAUAUAACUAAAGCAACUUGUGAAGCGGUAAUGAUUAAUUUCAUUUGAAAUGCUAAUUAGGGUGUGAUUUUCACGAUUUUUUUACAAAUGAAAUAGACCUAUUUUUAAACAUUUUAAAAAAGUUGCAAUGAGUUUUUCGCAGAGAGUUUGAUUAUUUCAAGUUGAAAUAUUCGAUUUGGAAUUUGACGAAUAUGAACCUAUUUUUCAUUAGCUACUACUCUGCUUCUACUGGGUCUAGAGACCUAAUAUAUACACCAUUUUUUUCCUUUUUUAUUAGCUAUAUUUUUGCUAAGAGUGUUUUUUCGAUAAAAUCCAUAUUUUUGGAGUUGUAUAAAACCCGUCUAAAAACAUGGUUUCUUUGUUGAACAAUGAACAUAUUCACUCGCAAAUAACUAGAAAAGUAUUGAUUUAGUUAAAAGACGCUAUAAAACAACAGUUGCUUAGAAUUAGUCAGCUUAUCCACUUCUAUUCCAGAUUUAUUUUGAACGUAUAUUUGCUCACCCCCGAGAAGGGGUGAAACUCACCCCCAGGGCUAAAGCACACAUCGGCAUAAUAUCAAUUUUUUUAUUUGACAGAUGUGCGGAAGAAAUUUUAUGUCAAUCCAUGCGGUUCUUUAAAAUUUGGACCAAACCCUGAGUAAAUGUACUAUGUAAGGUUGACAACCAUUUUUAUACUUUAAGUGAUAUGGUGGAUAAAUUGUUUAGUUUUAAGUUCAUGCGCACUAUGUUCUCAUACAUGCAUGUUCAUGUAUGAGUCCUUAUUUUCAAGCUUUUAGCUCCAUGUUGUAUGUUUAAGUUUUUAUUAAAUUCAUCAAAGAAC